rnacentral:rRNA from 1 species
GACGAACGCUGGCGGCGUGCUUAACACAUGCAAGUCGAACGGAAAGGCCUUGUUUUUGUGGGGUGUUCGAGUGGAGAAAGGGUGAGUAUCACGUGAGUAACAUGCGCUUGUCUUUGGGAUAACACCAGGAAAAUGGGGUUAUAAUCGGACAGGAGCUCCUGCUGCAUGGUGGGGGUGGGAAAGAUUUGCCGGUUGGGGAUGGAAUCGCGGGUUAUCAGCUUGUUGGUGGGGUAGUGGCUUACCAAGGCUUUGACGGGUAGCCGGCCUGAGAGGGUGACCGGCCACAAUCGGACUGGGGUAGGGGCCAGACUGCUACGUGAGGCAGCGGUGGAAAUUAUUGCGCAAUAGGCGGAAGCCGGAUACAGCAACGCCGCGUGCGGAAUGACGGCCUGCAGGGAGUAAACCGCGUGCGCCUGUAACGAAGCGUGAGUGACGGUAAUGAGUAAAGAAGCACCGGCUAACUACGUG